AACGAACGCUGGCGGCAGGCCUAAUACAUGCAAGUCGAGCGCUCUAGCAAUAGAGAGCGGCGCACGGGUGCGUAACGCGUGGGAAUAUGCCUUUAGGUACGGAACAACCAAGGGAAACUUUGGCUAAUAACGUAUAAUAUCUUUGGAUCAAAGGAUUUCGCCUAAAGAUUUGCCCGCAUCUGAUUAGCUAGUUGGUGGGGUAAAGUCCUACCAAAGCAACGAUCAGUAGCUGGUCUUAGAGGCUGCAUAGCCACACUGGAGCUGAGACACAGUCCAUACUCCUACGCGAGGCAGCAGUAAGUAAUAUUGGACAUGCAGGGUAACCCUGGUCCAGCCAUGCUGCGCUUUUGACGAAGGCCUUAGGGUUGUAAAGCUUUUUUAGUGAAGAAGAUUAUCACGGUACCCACAGAAUAAGCCCCUGCUCAAUUCGUGCCAGCAGCCGCAGUAA
rnacentral:rRNA from 1 species